rnacentral:rRNA from 1 species
UACGGGGGGGGCAAGCGUUGUUCGGAAUUACUGGGCGUAAAGGGCUCGUAGGCGGCCAACUAAGUCAGACGUGAAAUCCCUCGGCUUAACCGAGGAAUUGCGCCCUAAACUACUGUGCUUGAGGAACCUAGAGGUGAGCAGAACAGAUGGUGGAGCGGUGAAAUGCGUUGAUAUCAUCUGGAAUACCGGAGGCGAAGGCGGCUCACUGGGGGUUUUCUGACGCUGAGGAACGAAAGCCAGGGUAGCGAACGGG